rnacentral:misc_RNA from 1 species
AACAAGGCGUACCUGCGGACCUGCGGAAGGAUCAUUACCAAUUCAACGGUGUGGUCGCGGCCUCCGGGGGCUCCCCCCGGGCGGUAGAGGUAACACUCUUACGCGCCACAUGUCUGAAUCCUUUUUUUACGAGCACCUUUCGUUCUCCUUCGGUGGGGCAACCUGCCGUUGGAACUUAUUAAAACCUUUUUUUGCAUCUAGCAUUACCUGUUCAGAUACAAACAAUCGUUACAACUUUUA